rnacentral:lncRNA from 1 species
UAAAAAGCUAUAUAAAAUGCAGAUUCAUUCUCUUUAUAUAAUAUUGACAAGUUAAUAAAUACAUCAAUUGCAAGGCGCUUGGUCUAAGACCUGAUCACAAAUAAACGGAAAAGUUGCAUAGUUUAUUUCCUCUCUGAUCUGAAAAAUGCUAAAAGAUCUGUAUCAUUAAUUCAUUAUCAUCAUCAACGAUUAAAUAAUAGCUUCAGCGUGUCGAAGAUUUCGCCGAGAGCGGCAUAAGAAGCACUCACCUGAAACAAGAUUCACUUAGACAACAUUAAAUGCAAAAAAUAUACAAAAAAAUCACUUCCAUCCCCCCAUUAUAAGUACAAAUGAAAUACAGAGAACGCAAUUGUCAAAGGAAUGCAGAGAGCGUGAUUCAUUACCAUAAUGACAGCGGUCAAGGGCGCUACGAGGUUGAGGAUCAACAAAUGACAAACUUCACGAAGGCGACGAGAGAGGGGUUCCGGGGGCGGUGGAAGGUUGGUGUAAUUUGGAGCCAUGGCACGGACUCUCACCUCCAAAUCUAGAUUGCUAUAAAAUAAUGAAACAUAUUCAUUAAUAAUCGUUCAUA